AUUGAACGCUGGCGGCAGGCCUAACACAUGCAAGUCGAGCGGAUGAAGGGAGCUUGCUCCUGGAUUCAGCGGCGGACGGGUGAGUAAUGCCUAGGAAACUGCCUGGUAGUGGGGGAUAACGUCCGGAAACGGGCGCUAAUACCGCAUACGUCCUGAGGGAGAAAGUGGGGGAUCUUCGGACCUCACGCUAUCAGAUGAGCCUAGGUCGGCUUAGCUAGUUGGUGGGGUAAAGGCCUACCAAGGCGACGAUCCGUAACUGGUCUGAGAGGAUGAUCAGUCACACUGGAACUGAGACACGGUCGAGACUCCGACGGGAGGCAGCAGUGGGGAAUAUUGGACAAUGGGCGAAAGCGUGAUACAGGCAUGACGCGUGUGUGAAGAAGGUCUUUGGAUUGUAAAGCCCUUUAAGUUGGGAGGAAGGGUAGUAAGUUAAUAACUUGCUGUUUUGACGUUACCAACAGAAUAAGCACCGGCUAACUUCGUG
rnacentral:rRNA from 1 species